UUGACCUCGGAUCAGGCAGGAAUACCCGCUGAACUUAAGCAUAUCAAUAAGCGGAGGAAAAGAAACCAACAGGGAUUGCCCCAGUAACGGCGAGUGAAGCGGCAACAGCUCAAAUUUGAAAU
rnacentral:rRNA from 1 species